UCCACUACUCAGUUGGUAGAGUAUAAAGCUCUUAACCUUAUGGACAUGGCUUCAAGCCCCAUGGUGGAG
rnacentral:tRNA from 1 species